AGGACAGACAGGUCGGGGACCUGGAGCCACCGUGCUGCAUGUCACCUCCUUUAGGCAGGCAGUGGAUUGCAGACCAGGAGAAGCCACUGUAACAAGCCGAGGGCAGCUUGGGGUCUCCACUGCCAGACCCACCCCUUCAUGCCCGAACCUGGGGCUCCAAGCCUAUGGGAGCACCAGGACUAGAGUCAGCUCACCAGGACAAGGAACAUCACCCAAGCCUGCCAACCUGACAUUUGGGUCCCACCAGAACAACUCUUGAACUUCAAAGGGCCCUGAUGAGGACACCAGAGGAGAAACACAUCUUUCUCCCUCAUGAAAUCUAGAGGAUGAAGCACAGCCAGGGGGGGGCCCUGUAACAGGGUGAGAGCAGCUCAGCACCCCUGCCUCCUUCACUGCACACAGACCUCUUGCUCGAAGCUGCUCAGCACCCCAAGAGAGCGUUACACAUGUCUAGCAACAGUGACUAUCCUGUCCAAGACUUUCCAGGAACACUGUAGCCAGACCUACAUUGACAAGAGCCACUCACCAAGGAAGAGGAUUGUUCUACCGCCUGCCUUGGGCCUUCAGGGGC